GACGUGGGUAAAUGCAGCUAACCAAUCGAAAAACUGAUAACUAUACUGAAGAAGAAAAAAUCACAGUUUGUAUUUUUAUGGUAAUUAUGUGAGAAAAUAAUAUAAUAUAUUAGGUUUCUACUAUAUAUCCGUAACCUGUAAAAUAUUUUUCAUGGACUUUAACUUGGUCGACAGUGUUGCUGCAUAAAGAAUACUGUCAUAUUUUAAGUCAGUAAACUAAAGAUCACCCCCAAAUUUUAUACGACGUGGUAAAACGGACU